rnacentral:lncRNA from 1 species
ACGGGCGGUGGUGGUGGUGGAUCCAUGAUAGGUGUGAAAGAUGGUGGGUGUGUUGUAGAAGAACCUUCUCCUUGUUCUUGUCGUUGUCUAGCUUGUUGCCUCCUUCGUCUCGUUCUGCUAUUCAGUCUCCUUGCGGUUCUUUCGAUCUCGGGAUCAAAAAUAAGUUGGUCCUCAGGAACCUGCCCUCGCAUAAAACGAAAGCUGCACACUAAAC